UACAGAGGGUGCGAGCGUUAAUCGGAAUUACUGGGCGUAAAGCGUGCGUAGACGGUUAUUUAAGUCGGGUGUGAAAGCCCCGGGCUCAACCCGGGAAUUGCAUUCGAGACUGAAUAGCUAGGGUACGGUAGAGGGAAGUGGAAUUUCCGGUGUAGCGGUGAAAUGCGUAGAUAUCGGGAGGAACACCAGUGGCGAAGGCGGCUGCCUGGGCCAGUUCUGACGCUGAGGCGCGAAAGCGUGGGGAGCAAACAGG
rnacentral:rRNA from 1 species